GAUGAACGCUGGCGGCGUGCCUAAUACAUGCCAGUCGAGCGAACGGACGAGAAGCUUGCUUCUCUGAUGUUAGCGGCGGACGGGUGAGUAACACGUGGAUAACCUACCUAUAAGACUGGGAUAACUUCGGGAAACCGGAGCUAAUACCGGAUAAUAUUUUGAACCGCAUGGUUCAAAAGUGAAAGACGGUCUUGCUGUCACUUAUAGAUGGAUCCGCGCUGCAUUAGCUAGUUGGUAAGGUAACGGCUUACCAAGGCAACGAUGCAUAGCCGACCUGAGAGGGUGAUCGGCCACACUGGAACUGAGACACGGUCCAGACUCCUACGGGAGGCAGCAGUAGGGAAUCUUCCGCAAUGGGCGAAAGCCUGACGGAGCAACGCCGCGUGAGUGAUGAAGGUCUUCGGAUCGUAAAACUCUGUUAUUAGGGAAGAACAUAUGUGUAAGUAACUGAGCACAUCUUGACGGUACCUAAUCAGAAAGCCACGGCUAACUACGUG
rnacentral:rRNA from 1 species